AACGUUACGGGAAACCGGAGCUAAUACCGGAUAAUAUUUGAACCGCAUGGUUCAAAAGUGAAAGACGGUCUUGCUGUCACUUAUAGAUGGAUCCGCGCUGCAUUAGCUAGUUGGUAAGGUAACGGCUUACCAAGGCAACUAUGCAUAGCCGACCUGAGAGGGUGAUCGGCCACACUGGAACUGAGACACGGUCCAGACUCCUACGGGAGGCAGCAGAG
rnacentral:rRNA from 1 species